UUGCCAACUGGUAGGAGAUCACAAAACGGACCCUUUGUCGAAUUUCGAGGUUUCUGUGUUUCUCCUCCAGUCAUGGAUUACAUGACCAUCAGUUCUGUCAAUAAAACCCGUUACGAAAGUGGGGAAGUGGUACGCUACCGCUGUCAUCCGGGAUACUCUUAUAAGGAGUGGCCUUUUUACUUCACAGCUGUAUGUCUGCCAAAUGGCACAUGGCAAAAUCCUAAAAAAACCUGCAUAAAAUCAUCAUGUUUAAGGCCAGAAAUAAAAAAUGGUGACGUAUUCCCCCGGGGUGUAUCAUUUUUGUUGGGAACACAGAUUCACAUUUAUU